rnacentral:lncRNA from 1 species
AAGGGCUAAGUUUCCACCCCCCCCCCCGAGCCUUGGCGAGGGAGGGGGGACUGUGUGGGCAGCUGUAGACUUCUGGGAGAGGGGCUGCAGCUGUCCCCUGCUUCCCCCAAGAGGCUCUGAUGCCUGCUUUGGAAGAAAUGAGAGGGAGGGUCCCGCCCUGUGCCCCGUGCCCCGUCCCGUCAUCAUGCUGACACUGUACUCACUGCGGGCCAGGCACUGUUCAAGGGCUGCACGCACAGUAACUCACUUUCACAACCUCUGAAGGGGCAAAGAGCAGGAGCUGGUCCUCCUGAAUUUGAGGACCGUGUCACUUAGUAGUGAGGUGAGCUCAGGAAAGACUUAGCCUCUCCGUGCCUCCGUUUCUUCAUCUGUAUACAGCAGGUACCAUAUGGGGUUGUUGUAAUGAAUUAAUUUUCUAGAACCAUGCCUGGCAAGAUAAGGUUUGGGGUUUUUUAAUCAGAAGGUAGGUAUCAUUACUACCCCUAUUUUACAGAUGAGAAAACUGAGGGACCAAGUAAGUAAGACAGUGGAGGGCAAAUAUAGUGUGAAUGCCUAGAACUGGGAUCCACAGCCAGACUCAGGUCCAGGGCUCUGGCCCCUGGGGCUCUCCCUGGAGGGUGGUCAGCCGCAGGGGUAGCUGUGAGCCCCGCCUGCCCUCCCCAUGCUGGCCUGGGCCAGGCAGGCCGAGGGGGGCGGUGGGGGGCGAGCCACUUGCUCCCAUUGCUGUGAGGCUAAGUGUCCUUCGCGAGUCCCUCUGCGACACAGCUCUGCCACCAGCAGCUGGGCUGCCGUCCAGGCAGGAGUCAUUCAUGGCUGACGCCUGGGGAUGAUGAUGACGACCAUGUGUACUCCGGUCUCUGGUCCAAAGUGCAUUCCUGGGAGAGGCCUCCCCUGGGUGCUGGCUCCACACGGCCUAUCGCUUUCACCUCUUUCCCCUGCUUGAUGACCAGCUUAGCCCUUAAAGACAAUAAAAUGUUAUCUUUAUGGUCCAUUCCUUCAGCUUAUGUUUGUUGACUACCUACUAGGUGCCCAGGACGGUUCAGGUGCUGCGGAUACAAAGGUUAAUUUAAUUAAACCAGCAAACAUCCCAGCCUCACGGGAUUAGCUCUCUAUUGGGGGAAACAAGUGUACGGAAUGUUAGAAAACAACAGGAAACUAAGGUGUCCGGUGAGUUGGUAAAUGGAGAGACAAAAUGUGAAUAUCUACGUGGCGGAACACUACUCCGCCAUAAAAAGGAAAUGAACUGACAUACAGUGCAUCGUGCAUGAGCCUCAGAAACAUUCUGCGAGGUGAACGAAGCCAGACACCAAGGAGUCCAUGCUGUAGGAGUGUUCGCAUUUAGUGUUCAGAGAAGGGUUAUUGAGACAGCAGGUGGCGGGUUGCUGGGAACUACGUGGGGAAUGGGGAUUAACUAAUUGUAGAGGAUGAAAAUACAUCUGAAAAUGCCCUUCUCUCUGUGUCUCUCAUUCAUAAAUAAAAAUAAAUAAAUAAAUAACAA